AUACCUAUACUUCUAGGGCCUAGUUCAUCAAAAACCAAAAACUUUUCAAAAGUUCUCGUCACAUCAAAUCUUGCGGUAUAUGUAUAGAACAUUAAAUAUAGAUAAACAUAAAAACUAAUUAUAACUGUCCGUAAAUCGCGAGAUGAAUCUUUUAAGUCUAGUUAUUCUAUGAUUGGACAAUGUUUGUUAAAUAAAAAAUGGUACAGUAUCGAAAUCUAAAAUUUUUUCGGAUCUAAACAAGGCCUUGUUUAGUUCCCAAAAUAUUUUGUAAAAUUUUUCAUAUCAAAUUUUGAAGCACAUGCAUAAAGCUAAAUAUAGAUAAAAGAAAUAACUAAUUACAUAAUUUACCUGUAAUUUGCGGGACAAAUCUUUUGAAUCUAAUUAAUCUAUGAUGGAUAAUAUUUAUCAAAUAUAAACGAAUACUACUAUUUUUAUUUUGCAAAUUUUUUGAAAGUAAACAAAUGGCCUCCAAAAUCUUCACAUAACGCGCGCGCUGUGCACAACGUCGUCACGUACAGAAACGAUGCCGGGGAGGAGGAAGAAGAAGAACAGUGCACCGGCAAGGUUAGGGUUUGGGGUGUAGCUUGGGUACCUCCAAUGAACUCCGGGCUUAGAAGAGAAGGCCUUGGGGCGGCGGUUGGACGGGCGGUGUGAGACAACCAGUUGGCUUGACCAGUUGACCGCUUGAGCCGGCGAUGGGGGCGAGGACCGAGAGGAACAAGAUUUUUUUUCCUCCUAUAUAGGGAUUAGGUGAGGGCGGGGGUGGGCGGCGCAACGAUUCCGAUUCAGAUUAGGGGAAGGCGGGCUGGAGCGACGGAGGUGGUUGGCUGGCGGCGCGGCCAGCGGCGAGGGCGCCGCUGGCUGGGGGCGGCAGCGGGGGAGCAGAAUGGCUCCACAAAGAGGAAGAAUAGAGGAAGAACAGGGAAGAAGAAAGAACCCGUGCGCUGAU
rnacentral:lncRNA from 1 species